ACGCUCGACACCUACGGGAGGCAGCAGUGGGGAAUAUUGGGCAAUGGGCGCAAGCCUGACCCAGCAACGCCGCGUGAAGGAAGAAGGCCCUCGGGUUGUAAACUUCUUUUGUCAGGGACGAAGCAAGUGACGGUACCUGACGAAUAAGCCACGGCUAACUACGUGCCAGUAGCCGCGGUAAUCUGAGCGGGCUGGCAAGGC
rnacentral:rRNA from 1 species